UGUCACAGCUCUAUCACCCUGUAGCCCAAUACGGUCACUCACUGAAGCUAUGCAGGGCUGCAUCUGGUCAGUACCUGUAUGGGAGACCACAUGAGAAAACUAGGUUGCAGUUGGAA
rnacentral:rRNA from 1 species